UCGCUUUCUUGCACGUAAGUGUGCAGGAACAAGGACUGGGCAAGACGGUGCCAGCCGCCGCGGUAAUACCGGCAGUCCAAGUGAUGGCCGAUAUUAUUGGGCCUAAAGCGUCCGUAGCCGGCUGGGUAAGUCCAUUGGGAAAUCGACCAGCUCAACUGGUCGGCGUCCGGUGGAAACUGCNCAGCUUGGGGCCGAGAGACUCAACGGGUACGUCCGGGGUAGGAGUGAAAUCCUGUAAUCCUGGACGGACCACCAAUGGCGAAAGCACGUUGAGAGGCCGGACCCGACGGUGAGGGACGAAAGCCAGGGUCUCGAACCGGAUUAGAUACCCGGGUAGUCCUGGCUGUAAACAAUGCUCGCUAGGUAUGUCACAGGCCAUGAGCAUGUGAUGUGCCGUAGUGAAGCCGAUAAGCGAGCCGCCUGGGAAGUACGUCCGCAAGGAUGAAACUUAAAGGAAUUGGCGGGGGAGCACCACAACCGGAGGAGCCUGCGGUUUAAUUGGACUCAACGCCGGACAUCUCACCGGUCCCGACAGUAGUAAUGACGGUCAGGUUGACGACUUUACCCGACGCUACUGAGAGGAGGUGCAUGGCCGCCGUCAGCUCGUACCGUGAGGCGUCCUGUUAAGUCAGGCAACGAGCGAGACCCGCAUCCGUAGUUGCCAGCAAUACCCACGUGGUAGUUGGGUACACUACGGAGACUGCCGCUGCUAAAGCGGAGGAAGGAACGGGCAACGGUAGGUCAGUAUGCCCCGAAUGGACCGGGCAACACGCGGGCUACAAUGGCUCUGACAAAGGGAUGCGACGCCGAGAGGCGAAGCUAAUCUCGAAACGGAGUCGUAGUUCGGAUUGCGGGCUGAAACUCGCCCGCAUGAAGCUGGAUUCGGUAGUAAUCGCGUGUCAGAAGCGCGCGGUGAAUUCGUCCCUGCUCCUUGCACACACCGCCCGUCAAAGCACCCGAGUGAGGUCCGGAUGAGGCCAGCAUGCGCUGGUCGAAUCUGCU
rnacentral:rRNA from 1 species